CUUCAGUGAUGAUCUGAUGACGAGUCAGAAAAGGGCACCCUCUUGCCAGAGCAAACAGCUCUAUGCCACGUUCUGUGGCGCUGUGUCUGGCUGCUCUGGCAAAGGUGUCCUGUUCAUUGGAUGAUCCUGAGGCAUUUGUCUGAGAAGG